UUUCAUCACUGUCAUAAAACUUCAGACUUAGGGGACAUUCAAGGACGCAGAAGGAACAAUUGAGUCUCAUUCCUGAAAUGAGAUAUUUUCACUGGCAACUAUAAAUGGCUUCAUCAAAUAGUUGCUUCCCAGCAGAUGCUGAAUAUGGGGAAGUAUAAUUAUAAUACAGAGUAUGGCACUCUUUCAGAAGUUGGGUAUUUAUAGACUCUGGCUCCAUCACAUAGUAUCUGCAUGACCUUGGGUUACUCAGUCUUUCUAAGCUUCAAUUUAUUUAUAUGUAAAAUGGACAUCAUAAUAUAAACAGGGUAUUGGUGAGUGUUGGGGGCCGCUCGUUCCUUACUCCUGAUGUUUCUUUCCAUCUGAAAGGAUCUCCUCCUUUCCCUCUGUUCCCUUCCCUUAUUAGCCUGAGGCUUUUAGCCUCCCUCCACUAACCCCUUGCUUAUUCAAAAUUUACCCACCCAACUGGUGGGUGUGAAAGAGCAAGUAUAGUGCAGUCCAUCCUUUAUCAUUUCUCCUGGGGCAAACUGCUUCUGGGGAGUAGGAAUUUUUUUCUUCUGGGUUGGGGCAGGGAGAGGCCAAUGUUCUCCCCAGCACUGCCUGACUUGUCUGUCAUGGUGGGCUGCCUCUGAGAAGAUUCUGUAUGAUCGCUGCCUCAUGGUGUUCAUGUGCUCAUAUAAUCUCCCCUUCUUGAGUGUGGGCUGGACCUAGUGACUUGCUUCUAACAAACAAAUAUGGCAAAAGUAAUGAGAUGUCCCUUCUGAGAUUAGCUUACAAAAGGAUUGUGACUUCUGUCUUGCUGGCCCUCUCUUUCUCUGUCUUAUGGAGCCCUUGCUCUGGAGGGAAGCCAGCUGCUGUGUUGUAAGUAGCCCUACAGAGAGGUCCAUGUAGCAAGGGACCAAUGUCUCUGGCCAACAGCCAGCAAGGAACUGAGACCCUCAGUCCAACAGCCUGUGAGGAACUAAUUCCUGCCAACAGCCAGUGAGUCUGGAAGCCAAUCUUUUCCCAGUUGAACCUUUAGCUGACCACAGUCCUGGGAAACACCUUGAUUGCAGCCUGUUGAGAAACUCUGAGUCAGAAGACCCAGCUAUGCUGCACUCAGAUUCCUGAUCCACAUCAACUGUGAGAUAAUAAAUAUUUGUUGUUUAAAGCUGCUGAGUUUGGGAUUAUUUGUUACACAGCAUAGGUAACUAAUACAGCUGAGUAGGUCUGGUUCAUUCUUGUGUUCAGUUUUAGGAAGCCCUUUGUCUCUCUGACGAAUCUUAGCCUCUGUUGGUCAUGAAGGUGAUAGUUUGCUUCCCAUCUGUGUUUUUCUUUUUGGGUUACUUCUCAAUUGUUUAUUAAUUAGAACCCUGGACAAGGGAGAGGUAUGUUAUUUCCGUCCACUGACCCCUCCACUAAAAUCUUCAAUUGAAGGCUCUCCAUAGAUGUUACUUGCCUUCCAGAACUACUGUGGGGAUCGCUGCAAGUGAUCCGGCUUUGCUGGAGACAGAGCUUUCCCAGUUCCUCUUCUAUCAACAAAAUGCACACGCUCUUUCUAGGCACUGCUACUGGACCUGACAAAGGCUGGUGUGCUUUGAAGUCCCGUCACCUCCAAUCCUAAUUCACAAACUUCUCCAAGGCCACUGUCUUGGCCUCGUCAUUUGCUCCUAUCAGAACAUCCCCGUUCAAGCUUAGAUCUUAGCAGUGGAAACCUCAAGUUCAUGUGAAGCGAGUGUAGGAGGAAUUCUGGGGCUUAAACAGCUGCUGAACUUUGAGGUCACUUCAGGAGGAGGACAGGCCUUCCCACUCGAUCAUAGUGGCAAGCCCAUAUAACUUUAGGGAAAGCAGACAGAGAAACCUAUAAUAUUAUUAGACAGUUAAAGACUUUCCAGAAAGUGUUAACAAGGCCACAAGCAUUUGGGCACUCGUCGCUUUUUCUCACUUGUUCUCUCUCAGUUUAGUGAGUUUAAGUGUGUGCACACUUAAUUUCAAAGCUUUGGCCACUCCUGGACAUUUUUCACACAUGGUCCAGGAGUGGGCACUCUAUGAACAGCCUCUCACUGGGAGUCACAGCUCCCUGGAGGGAGAGGAGUGGGCUUUACUUGACCCCCUCCGGAGAGAUGGCCUGGCAGCUCAAGAAGGUUAAAAUGUGCUGUCUCCACUUCUUCCUUUGCGUCUCAUUUCAGAAUCUGUUUAUUUUUUUAAAAAAAAUAUUUAAAAGCAGAAAAACAGCAUUUGGAUUUUAUAAAAUACAACAGAUCAAUUCCUACUUGUGGUUUUACCCUGGAACCUGGCAUAAAAAAGUUCUAACAGAUAUUUUUCAAAAAUCAUUAGAUUCACCAAAAUUCAAGCUGGCCCACGACGUUUGGAUAGGAUCCAUUUUUUUUAAUCUAAUAUUUUUCCACCCCAAGUGGUCUCUGGCCUUUAAUCCUGUUCUCUGCAUCAUGAAUUUAGGAAAAAACCUGGAUUUUCCCACUGAAGAUCUAUGAGUUCUUCAUAUCCAUGGAUUUCUGGGCAAACAUAAUUACUGGAGUAAGAAGGAAAAGCACAGUUGAUAAAUUUCCUGCCAUUUAGGGAGGCCCCAUGAUUUUUAAUAACCUCCCAAUUUCUGCUACUCAUCUCUCUCAAUUUCCCUGGGCCUCCCUUGAUGCUAUGCUUAUUUUCAUAUCUGCGUUGGAUGACUUAGGCUAAUCAAAAGUCAUAGGUGAUAAUUACGAAAAAAAUGUUUUAUGUUAAAUAUAAUUUGUAUGGGGGUAGAAUGAUAGGCAAGAUUUUUUACUUCUUGUUCCACAAUUUCUGGAUGUAUUAUUUUUGUGAUUAACAACAGUGUGUUAAAGUAAGCCCAGCCUAUUUCUGCAAAAAAUAGAAAAAAAUAUUUUAUUUUAGGAGACAUUUAUAAUUUUAAAGUGUGGUUAAUAUAUAAUAUGUCUACAUAGUUAAUUUGUAAAAGUACAUGUCAUUUCAUUAGGGCGCUAUUAGAUUCCUAUUGCUGCUGUAACAUAUUACCACAAACUUAGUGUUUAAAACAACACAAAUUUGUUAUCUUACAGGUCUGGAGGUCAGAAAUCUGAAAUGGGUCUCCCUGGGCUAAAUUAAGAUAACAGCAGAGCUGGUUUCUUCUGAAGGCUGCAGGAGGAAGCUGUUUUCCUGCCUUUCCCAGUUUUUGGAGGCUGCCUGCAUUCCUUGGCUCAUGGCUCUGCAUUGCUCCAAUCUCUGCUUUCAUCAUCACGUCUCCUUUGACUCUGACGUUCAUGCCUCCCUCUUUCACUUAUAAGGACCCUUGUCGUCACGUUGGGUCUACUCAGAUAGUCCAGGGAAAGCUCUCUAUCUCAAGGUCCUUAACUUAAUCGCAUUUGCAAAGUCUCUUUUGCCAUGGAAGCAACAAGUAAUAUUCAUUCGUGGAGAUAUGAACUAAUUAGGAAAAACAAACCAGUCUUAGCUGUCUUAUUAAGAGGUAAAAUUCUGGUGGAAUUUGCAUUUUUAUGUUUAUCAACUUUUAAAGUAUAUUUGCAUUCUUUUGAUUAAUUGUGUACUAAAUGUGAAGUAUUAUGAUAACUUUUCAGAAGAAAAGUUUUUAAAAAACGUUUGGAUGUGCAUGGUCACAGGGAAUUUAAAAAAAUCGUCAAUUUACAGCCUGUUUUUUUUGGAGUGAAUUAUGAUGGGCUUAUUUAGCAAAAUUCUUUAAAGUAUAAUAUAUUAUUGUAUUAGGGUAAAGGUCUAUGGAGAAGAUGAAAUGGAAGUAAGACUUGGAGGAACAUUAUAAAAGAGAUAUGUAUGUACAUUUAUAUUUUUAAAUGGACAAUGCUAAGUAUCAAAUUCCUUUGGAAUUUAGAUUCCAUUAGAAACAUGUAAAGAGUGUAGUAAUAGCUUUAUUUUAGACUUGCAAUAUUUACACUUCACUGGAAGUCUUGUCUAGCAACUUCUUAACUUAGGAUAAAAAGUGAAUAGGUAACUUAAAAAUGUGAUAGGUAGGACACAGUCCUUUGAAAUUACUUUAGGGAAUAGAUGAGCAAAAAGUGUUGAAGAACAGACAACCAAGAUCAUCCAUAAUGAUUUAAAAGCAAGAUUUCAAAUGAGAUUAAUAACUAUAGGCUAGGGGUGGCAGAGAGCAUUGUUUCAAAGAAUGAUAGAGCGUGGACUGGCCUCUGACAGCAGGUGGGGUCUGGGAUCGGAGGAUGAUAGAAUUUGCAGAAUCCAAUCUGAGAAUUGGCAGGACCCAAACCCUCACUCUCGUCUGCAACCCCAGGGAAGCAGAGGAUGUGUGGACAGGAGCAGGAGAGUAGAGAUGGCUGCAUGGGGGAAAUGCCCGGGAUUGCAUAAAGUUCCACUCAUAUGGUUCCUCCUAGUGUCUGCUCUGGGUUGGAAGCCAGUUGUCUCAUUAAUGCACCCUGUUUAGCUUAUCUCCCUCCCCUGUCUCACUUUCCUCCAUGCCCCUCCCAAAGAAGCUACCUGCAUCCGAGUUCUAUCUCAGGAUCUGCAUUUGGGGGAACCCAAACCAAGACAUGUGCAGUCAGUUACUUUCUUAAAUGGAAUAAAAUUAAGUUCCAUUCAAUUUAGCGUGCAUUUAUUGGGUGCAUUCUAGCUUGGCUCUAAGGAUACCCAAUAAUUAUUUAUUGAUUGAUUAAUCAGGAUGGCAUGGCCAGGAGUAUCAACUGAUCCCGUCUCUACUGAGCGUACAUAAACAGAUUUGGAAAAAACUGACCUUGAAGAAAUUAAUCUUAGAAAGAGACGAUAUGUGUAGUGAGAAGCUGAUCUGUCAAAAGCCAGAAAGGAAAUGGAGAGACAUAAUGAAAGCUGAACAUUUAGUGCAAUUCUUUUGGAAUAACUGUAAUUUUUCAUUAAACAUUUUUUCCUUCUUACGAAAUUUGCUGCUGUUCCCUUGUUGCAACCAGGAACCUUAAAAGAACCCAAGUGCAGUGUCUGGUUUUAAAACAACAGUUCAGCUUUAUUCAUAAGGGCAAAUAAGAAUCAGGUUCUAGUCUGAAGUUAAUAGGAAAUAAGCAACAUUUCCCCCUUAACUUUCACUAUGGCUCAUGUAAGUGCUAGAAAUGCAAUUACGUAAGCGUCUAGCUGACGUUUGGAGUGUUGCCUUGAUUAUUUAACUGUAGUUAUAAAAUGUCUAAUUUGCAUAUUGCAUUUUUUUCUUUUGCAGCAGUGGUCUAAAGCUUAUAAACAAGGCUUUAUUUCUUAAGAAAAGUGUUUAAAACAGAGGCUUCUGGCAGUGAGAAUACAGAGACUUAACCAGCAUUUGGCUUUGAGCUUCUGUAGGGAGGUAUGUUUAUAACUACUAUUGGAGAAAACCAAAAUUAGAGAGAAAUAAUGAGAGAGAAAUAGAAAAGUUAUUAACGAGUAGAACCAGAGAGCUUGGAGGAGAAACUGAGUUUCAAAUCUCUCUUAAAUGGUUCCUCCAAAGGUGUGACCUUGAGCAAGUGGUGGCCUCACUUCUUCCAUCUGAAAUGAUGAGGACCACUUGUGAUGCUUAGAAUCAUCACUGGGGCUUGCUGUCAACUGGUUGCUUUUUCUUUUCUGUAAGGAAGAUUGGCCCUGAGCUAACAUCUGUUGCCCAUCUUCCUCUUUUUGCUUUAGAAAGAUUGUCGCUGAGCUAAUAUCUGUUCCCAUCUUCCCCUAUUUUUUAUGUGGGAUGCCGUCACAGCAUGGCUUGAUGAGCAGUGCUCAGUCCACGCCCAGGAUCCAAACCUGUGAACCCCAGGCCGCUGAAGCGGAGCAUGCAAACUUAACCACUACGCCACUGGGUUGGCCCCUGGUUUGCUUUUUGAUGCUCAAAAUUAUUGAAUAAGUUCUUCCUUCACCACAGUGUUGCAGUGUUUUAAUAAGGAACAGACACAGAUCAGAAAAAAAAAAAAAAUAGAGCAUGACAAGGCAAUGCUGGUUCUUAUAUCCAUAGAAUGUCUGAGUUGGAAAGAAAAUUAUCAUCAACUACUUAAAAAUCAUUUUAGGGCUCUUACUAUGUGCUAAGCACUCUGCUGGACACUUUACAAAGAUAACCUCAUUGCAUCAUUUCACCAAUCCCAUAAGGGGGGCAUGAUUAUGUACAUCUUAUAGAGAAAGAGACAGGCUCCCAGAGGUAAUGUGGCCAACGUCUUAAACUAAAAGUCAAAGAGGAAAGAUUUGUUAUGCUUUUUUUAGCAACUUUUUUUUUCUUUUCUCUUUUUUCUUUUGGUGAAGAAGAUUUGCCCUGAGCUAACAUCCGUUGCCAAUCUUCCUCUUUUUUUAUCCCUGAGCCAACAUCUGUGCCAAUAUUCCUCUAUUUUUUG
rnacentral:lncRNA from 1 species